GCCCAUAUAGCUCAGUUGGUAGAGCACUUCCAUGGUAAGGAAGGGGUCGGCGGUUCAAUCCCGCCUGUGGGCU
rnacentral:tRNA from 1 species